AGCUCAGUGGUUCCAGCAUCUGCCUUGCAAGCACAAGGACCCAAGUUCUAUUCUUGG
rnacentral:tRNA from 1 species